CUGAAAAUAAAUCGGGUUUCUAAAAGUCGAUCACAGCUUUUGGCAGAGUUGUCAGAUAGUAAAUAUGUUCGACUACCUUAACAAAGCUUACGUAAUCUUUAAAUAGCGACAACGAUAAGGGGAAUUAAAAUACGCGAACUUCCUGUGAUUACUGUAUGAUACUAGAGUUUCUAAAAUGACGAAAUAUCUCAGCCCUAAACCUUACACUGAGUCACCGAUUAUAGGGAAAGGAGGAAUAACACUGUAAUAGGCAUCUCUCCGCAGGUCCUCCAUUGAACUGAAUAAACAAAUUCACGUAGUCGAAAGUUGUAGGAUGCUAAAGAUACAUAAAAAUGGAGAAAAAGCAGAUAUGAAACAUUUGUGAAAGUGAUGGCAUAUAUAGUAAUGUAACAAAAUAAAUAAUUACACAAAAUAUUAAAAAAAAAAAUGUAAACUAAACACUGCAGAUGAAAUAGCUGCACCAGUAUCGCAAUGGUAAUACUAUGACUGAAAAAUAUGAUUAGGACAAAUGAAAUACACAAUAAUAUAGAUAGUAAGGUAGUCGAGCUGUGGCCUUUGAGAAAAAGAGUGAGAUAGGGUUGGGGUUGGGGAGAUAGGUAGGGCUGGAGGAGGGAGGGCCUUGGUGUACUGGUAAGGGUGAGAGGGAGGACUGGAGGAGGGAGACUGGGAGAGUGGUAGAGAGAGAGAGUGAGAGAGGGAGAGGUAAGAGUAGACAGCAGCAGCUCAUGUCACUGUGCCGCGAGCUGAGGUGAGGGUUGUGUGCUGCUGGUGUUGGCGGCUGGUACUUCAUGGCAAGCAGGGGACGGACUCGGGGUGGAGGGCGGGGGCGAGGGCGGGGGAGCAGAACGCCUGAUCCCUCCUUCAGGUACACCUUGAACAGAACGGAGCAACAGUACAUGAAUUUCUUGAAAGCUACCAGAAGGGUGCAUGAACAAGUUGGGAACCACUGAUUUAUAGCCAUCCACACUGCAGCAAAGUUGUUAGAGUUACAAAAAAUCUCCCCUCUUAUCUUGUGGAAUAUCUUUCUGUAUACCAUGCCAAGAUCCCCCUUUUAAAAAGUGGAGCCAAGAAAAGCAUUUUAACAGCAUCUUUUAUCGGUCAUCAACUCAGAUAUGGAAUUAUAUGAAUAUGGUAUAUAAAAAAAAAGUUGUAACAAAAUACAGGGAGGUCCUGUCAUACAAGCAUCCGUUAUAUGAGAAAUUCAUGAUAUGAGAUGUGUAAAUUAGGGAGUAUUUUCUUUAUACGAGUGCAAAAAUCCAAUGAUACAAGCUUCAGUCCGAGACAAAUAAAAUUACAAACUGUGCACCCCUCCCUUGUCCCUUACCUACUAUUCAUUCCUCCCUGAACUCAUUGUCUCUCAGACUUCCACCCUUAUGGCCUUAAUGCUCUAAGCAUACUCUAUUAUCAUUUUGCCUGCCAGCACAUUUACAAUACAGUGCAAGUACACUGCACAGUGCUUUGUGUGACUGAUUGGUGCUUGGAUGUUUUGCAGUGUUACUGCAGGCGUGUUCUUUCAUUUGCUCUCUUUGGUGUAAUGUUGUGUAUGCAAUUGACCCUGUAGUAUAUAGAAUAUGCCUUAUUUUGCCUCUCAAGUGUUAACUAUGUCUCCCAAGUGGCCAUUGAAUUCCAGUGUGAGUCCUAGCAGUAAGGCUAAGUAAGCUAGAGUACUAAUAACACUUGCAAAAAAGGUAAAAAUUGUUAAGAGGCACAGAAGUGGUGAGCAAGUUACCCUCCCUGAUGCAUUAACUAUGCAUUGGUGAGUGUUAUGCACAUUUUAUAUGUUUAACAUGAGAUCAUGUUCUUUGUAUGUUGUUUUCUCUUUCAGGUUGCUUUAUUGACAGUUCUGUAAAAUAGGCACAUUGGUUCCAUUUGGUAUCAUACAUUUUAGCUUGAAAACUUACCUUUGACCUAACCCCUUUUUUCCCAUUAGUUAUGUGCUUUGUUAUACAAGAAUUUGCUAUACAAGCAAUUCAAAUGGAACCAAGCUGCUUGUAUCAUCAGGACCUCCCUGUAAUACAAAUUUAUUGUGCUGUGAGUUAUACAAUAUAACUAUUAUCUGUAGUGUGAUGAUUGUGGUAAAUAUAACCUUUAGGCUAUGACAGUUAUGUCACCUUUAGCCAAAUCUUUAGAGCAUUUACUUUCACAGUUUUGAUCCUGUGACUUGUAUAUCACCAAAUAUUAUGCAUUGCUUGUAAUGGAUUCAUGUAUUAGGGUUUCUUGAAUUUGAUGUUCAAGUAACAAGAAAAGCAUGACUGACUGGAAUGAUUUAAAUAUCAUACAGGCUUGAUUACUAAACAGAUGUUUUAUCUAUAGAGACCCUAAAAGUUAUUCCCAGAAGAUGAUAAAGGUAGAUGAUGAGAUGAUAUGUAAAACAGACCUGUGAGGCAGUUCUGCAAGGACAGCAGCUAUAACAGAUAAUUUUGUAGUAAGGGAAUAUAUUAAAAAUAUAUGACCAGCAAAGAUCUGUUCAUCAAGUACAUCAGGUCCCUGCUGUACAUAUAUAAAUUCUAUAUGGUGAUUUGCUGUAACAAUGGAGGGAAAUUAACACUUUCCCACCACAGCAAUAGCAAUAUCUGAUGUAAGGAUUCAAUAUUUUGACUUUUACUUGCUUACUGCAGGAGUGUGAGUUUUUGUGCACAUCAUUUCCACAAACCAUUAUUGCUCUACUCCUUUUAGUCCAUGCGUAGCUUAUUGGUUUUAACUGCUGUACAUACAGAUGCUGUACAGUACAAAUAAUAAAUAUACCGAGUGCUUUUAUACUUUACAAUGAUUUUCAUCCAGGAACUAGAUCAUGAUAACCCUUCAAAUUCAAUUGAAAUUUUACCUUGUUACAAGUGUCUCAAAUUUUGCAAAUUAUUAUUCCAUGUUAACUUUAAAUAAAUUAUAAGAAAUUGUAUCUUACUUUGCCAUGAGCAUCUCUAUAUUUACUGAUUAUUAUUCAAAUAAUUUCAAAUUAAAGGGGAAGAAGAACUAAUUACAGUAUUUCAUAACAAAAUGAUGAAACAUCUUGCCAUUCAGGGUUUUUGUUGAUGUGCAGUUCAGUCAAGUUUAGUUCCACUUUGAAAGUAUAAUUAAAAAGACAUGCUUGAGGAUGAUGUCAUCAAGUGAGAAACUGAAAUAUUCAGAACAGAACACCAUGGAGCUGCAAAGUGACAGGAGCAAUUUUUCUGUUGCUGUGCAAUAAUCCACUGUGGCCUUGGUGUCAACAAAUAUUAAUGUGUAAUAGACAUCCUGUACACUGCCAUCAUCACUUAAUAAUAUGUACAUAUGUGUAAGAAGAGGAGGGGGUCAGUGAUACUAUCAUAUUUAAUACAUUCAUGUUUCUUGCUGCUUGUAUUCAAUAGCCCAUUGUUAAUACUGAGACUGAUGAGUGG